CGCGUGUCGCCCAGAGGACGAAACACGAUACUUCGCCAUCUUUUCCCGAAACGCCAAGUGAAAAGGUGUUCCAAAUUCGUUGCGGAAUUGCGGCGUCGAUCUAAAUUUUCAGCAUUGAAAUUUAAUGGGCAAUCUGGCAUAUAGUUUCCACUUGGUUGAUGGCAGGGGAACAAUCGAUCACGUGGGCUGAAAGUCUGAAACUGCUUUCCAUUUUGCCAAAACGUCGUCCUUUGUUAGCUGUACGGAAGUACGUCUCAUCUCACGCAGAAUCACUACAGAGUUGGUGUUCAGGUUGGAAAUCCUGUUGCUUAACUGUUGCAGAAUGUAAGACCCCGACAACAGCUGAGUUCCAUGGCUGGCUCAUUACAGUGGUUUUGUUGCAGCCAGCUGGUGAAAGGUGUGUUCGAGUCAAGUUGAGCUGCUGCAUGCAGUUUAUCGAGCUGGUGUUAUCCUGAAGUGUCAUUGCAGGAAGACUUUUUGGAACGGACUUGGUGAUACUUAAACUAUGCCUGUGCUGUUCAAUGUGCAUUGGUUUUGCAGCCUGUUUCCAGUUGAGGGAUGUGAUUAUGCAGCUGAUACAGGAUUAAAGAAAAAGAACUGAAGUAGCUGUGCUGGUGUUCUCCUGAAAUUACUGCGCCACAAGAGUUGCAGAUAGUGAUUGGUUCCUCAUAGAAGUCGAUAGAAGUUUAUUUAAAUAGUUUGGAGAUGAUCAGCCACUUCUGCCUUUAACUUAUGUAAAACUUUAAAGUUGUAAGAAAUAUACAAGUCAAGUGCUAAA